AACGAACGCUGGCGGCAUGCCUAACACAUGCAAGUCGAACGAGACCUUCGGGUCCAGUGGCGCACGGGUGCGUAACGCGUGGGAACCUGCCCUUAGGUUCGGAAUAACUCCCCGAAAGGGGUGCUAAUACCGGAUAAUGUCUUCGGACCAAAGAUUUAUCGCCGUUGGAUGGGCCCGCGUUGGAUUAGCUCGUUGGUAGGGUAAAAGCCUACCAAGGCGACAAUCCAUAGCUGGUCUGAGAGGAUGAUCAGCCACACUGGGACUGAGACACGGCCCAGAAUCCUACGGGAGGCAGCAGUGGGGAAUAUUGGACAGUGGGCGAAAGCCUGAUCCAGCAAUGCCGCGUGAGUGAUGAAGGCCUGAGGGUUGUAAAGCUCUUUUACCCGGGAUGAUAAUGACAGUACCGGGAGAAUAAGCUCCGGCUAACUCCGUG
rnacentral:rRNA from 1 species